AUACGGAAGAUGCGAGCGUUAUCCGGAUUUAUUGGGUUUAAAGGGAGCGUAGGCGGAAGGUUAAGUCUGCGGUAAAAUGGCCGUGCUCAACGCGGUCCUGCCGUGGAUACUGGUCUUCUUGAAUGUGCACAAGGAAGGUGGAAUUCGUGGUGUAGCGGUGAAAUGCUUAGAUAUCACGAAGAACUCCGAUUGCGAAGGCAUCCUUCUGGGGCAUGAUUGACGCUGAGGCUCGAAAGCGCGGGUAUCAAACAGGAUUAGAUACCCUGGUAGUCCGCGCCGUAAACGAUGAAUACCCGUCGUUGGCGAUACACGGUCAGCGACCAAGCGAAAGCAUUAAGUAUUCCACCUGGGGAGUACGCCGGCAACGGUGAAACUCAAAGGAAUUGACGGGG
rnacentral:rRNA from 1 species